CUUUGGUAAGUGACUGGGAACCAUUAUCAUUAUAAAAGUCAUAUAAUUGAUCUAUAAGUUUCCAAUUAUUUAGGCUUAUCUCUUCUUCCUCAAAGAACCAAGAGGACAUAUGUUCUAAUUCUAAUGUAACCAGGAAUCCAUCAAGCUACUCCCAAGUCAUAAAUAAGCCCUGUCUCUUUAUCAGUCUGAGUAUGCUUCCUGUAGAUCUCCUUUGGGGUGGGUGGAGGUUGGGGUUGGUGGUAGAUCUUUUCUCAAUAUCUGCCCCAUUACAGCUAGAAAAGGAUAUUAGUUUAGCCCUUAACAAAGUUAAGUUCCCUGUUUGUCUAUUUAAAUAAUCACCCUAUUUCCUGGUCACCAGAAACUUCUUCAGUGAAUUUAAGGUCCUCGGUUUCCACGCUUGGGCGCCAAAUGUAAUAACCAUCCUAGCAAUCAGGACAACCCUAAAAUCAGCCAAAGUCAGGAUAAGCAAAAGUCCUUAAUCUUUAUUCUUGGUCUGAGACGCAGGAUUGAACAGUAUGGAAGCAGAUUCUACGUGACCACCUUCCUCCUCAUCCAUCGCCAAGAGUGUGUCCCUUGCUCAUCUUACUCCAUUCCCUUGUUCCUCCUACAAUCCUCUAUACACCAAUCAUUGAGCAGUACGGAUAGUGGAAAGGACCAUUUUCCAAGCAUAUGCCCAUAGAGUACUGUCCAAUCAGUAGUUAACCUCAAGUGCCCAGCAGUCCCGACCUCAGUGCAUCAACCCAAUACUUUCAGCCCUCUACAGAUAAGGAAGGAAACUACACUAUGCUAAAUGGUGAAAUAUCAAUACUAAUCAUAUAUGCACCAAUUGGUAUAGCAUCCAAAUUGCUAAAGGGGAAGUUAAGAGAACUUAGACAGCAAGAAGAAGAAUUAGACAGCAAACCUAUACUAGUGGGUAAUCUCAACCUUGCUCUCUUGGAAUUAUAUAAAUCAAACCUCAAAAUCAAUAAGAAAUAAGUUGAAGUAAUUAGAAUUUUAGAAAAAUGAGAUAUGAUAGAUCUUUGGAGAAAAUUGAAUGGAGACAGAAAGGAGUAUCCUUUUUAUUAGCUGUUCAUGGAACGUAUACAAAAAUUUAUCAUGUAUUAGAAUAUAAAGAUCUCAAAAUCAAAUGAAGAAAGGUAGACAUUGUAAGUACAUUUUUUUCAGAUCAUUAUGCAAUAAAAAUCACAUGCAAUAAAAGGCCAAGGGAAAAUAGACCAAAAAUUAAUUAGAAACUAUAUAAUCUAAUCCAAAAGAAUGAAUGAGUGAAACAACAAAUCAUAGACACAAUUGAUAACUUCAUCCAAUAGAAUAACAAUAAUAAAACAACAUACCAAAAUUUGUGGAAUGAAGCCAAAUAAGUUAUUAGGGGAAAUUUUAUAUCUCUAAUUGUUUACUUGCAUAAAAUAGAAAAGAAAAGAUCAGUGAAUUGGACUUUCAACUAAAAAAGCUAACAAAAGAACAAAUUUACAACCCUCAAUUAAAUACCAAAUUUGAAAAAAAAACAAAAAACAAAAAAAGAUAAAUGUUUAGUUAAUUUGAUUAGAAAAAGGAAAGACUAUACUGCAGACAUAAUGUACACCAGGUAUUUUUAUUGUACAGAUUAGGACACUGAGAUUCUAACCAUGUCAAUAAUUUAGUUAAAUUUCAAUAUAAAGUUAUAAUUAUUUUUAAAAAAAGGAAAAUGGCCAUUAGACCUUAUGAUCUGCUCAACCAAUAUUUGAAAAUGCUCUUGGCCUUACAAUUUGUGCAUUGGAGGAUGGAGUAAACCAUUCUCCAUAUUUUACCAUAAAAUUUGCUAAUAGUAUCUAAUAUGCCUUCCACCUAGGCAUCCUCCCUACUAUUAUGAACUUAAGAAUUUGAGGUUUGAACAUUAUGAUUUCUCUUUCUCUUUCUCUCUCUUUUUUCUUUUCUUUAAAUCUCUCUCUCUUUCUCUGACUCUCUGGUCAUUAUAUCUUUGUCUCUUUGUCUCUCUGUGUGUAAUUUUUUAUUAAUGUCACUGUGUUUCUGUGUUUUCUCUCUUUCUCUCUCUGUUUGACUCUAUCUCUGUCUCUAUCUCUCAAUGUCUCUGUGUAUGUCUCUUCUCUCUGUCUGUAUUUCUCUGUGUCUCUGUCUUUAUUCAUCUUUCUCUCUCUCUCUCUCUCUCUCUGUCUCUCUCUCUCUCUAACAUACACAUGCACACACACAUGCACACACACACACAGAACUAAAAGCAGCUCUUGUUAGUUUCAUGACAUGGAACAUCAAGCUACUAUCAGUAGGGAGAUCUUAGUGCCCACUUCACCUUCCCAGCCAAACUUCAGCUUCUUUUCAUGUUUUCUUCCUUCAUUAGAUUUUAAUGUCCUUGAUGACAGUGACUGUCCCCAGCACUUGGCACAAUUCUUCACAUAAUAGUUGAUCCUUAAAAGUUGUUUAAGCUAAAAUUCAAUUGAACAAUUCAAGUAAUGUUGCUCAUGCAGACAUACAUACAGAGUUAAAAUGGCCAAUAGCUAAACAAGUAAAUUUUGAGUAAAAGAAGUAAGUUUGAGUUCUUUAGGAUAAUAGGACAAAAUAUACUCAAAUGCACUUGAUAUUUCCAUAGAAAGCAGUCAUCUUGUGAGAUAACCCAGUUAACGACUAGUGAAAUAAACUAGACAUCAAAGAAGUCAUUGAAUAUCCUUAAAUAUAAUCUCUUCUACUUUGUUUUAAAUAUAUCAUAGAUGGCUAUGAAAAAAAGAAAUCUAUUUAAUAGCUCCAGUGUAACAAAUGAAAGGAAAAACUAUUUUAUUUUUUUGAUUUGACCAUCCGAUUAGUGAAUCACAUCAUUUUAGAAGGAGUUUUCUCAUUGCAAUAAUUACAUCCUUAUUCCUCAGGCUAUAGAUCAUAGGGUUUAACACUAGAGUCACGAUAGUAUAGAAAAGAGCAAAGACUUUGUUUGAUUUAGCUGGAUGACUGGAUUUGGAUCGAACAUAAGUAAUAGUAGCAGACCCAUAGAAUAAACAUACAACCAUAAGAUGAGAAGAACAAGUAGAAAAGGCUUUGGAUUUCCCUGAAGUCGAUGGUAGUUUCAGGAUAGUAGCUAUGAUUGUGAAAUAGGAUAUGAGUAUCAACAGAAAGGGAAUCAUGACAAAACGAAAGUACUAACAAGUAAAGAGAUCUCUUUCUGAUAUGUGUCCCCACAGGCAACCUCCAGCAGUGUUGAGGAGUCACAGAAAAUAUGAUUGAGUUUGUUAGGACCACAAAAGUUCAGAGAGAAAAUAUAAUAUGUGACACCUAUCUGAGCUGGUAUUCCAGUGAUCCAGGCAGCAAUCACCAAUUGGACACAUACCUUAUGAUUCAUGAUGAGAGGAUAGUAAAGAGGCUUACAGAUGGCCACAUAUCUGUCAUAAGCCAUCACAGCCAGAAGUAAGCACUCUGCAGUUCCUAGAAUAUAAAGGAAGCAAGAUCGUAUAGCACAGGACAGGAAUAGGAUGUUUCCCUUCUGAGUCCAAAUAUCUUUUAGCAUUCUAGGGAGAGUGACUGAUGUGUAACAGAUUUCCAAGAAGGAAAAGUUUCCAAGGAAAAAGUACAUGGGAGUUUGAAGAGUAGGAUUCAUCUUAGUUAUUACAAUGAGCAGACCAUUUCCUAUGAUUAUAUUUAUAUAGAUGAUUAAAAAAAUUCCAAAUAGAAGAUUUCGGAGGUUGGGAAAGUCAGAAAAUCUCAGAAGAAUGAAUUCCACCACAAAUGUAACAUUGCUUCUUUCCAUUUGUCACUUUCUUCUGGCUGUGGAAAUAUUGAAUUCAGAAUGAGCAAAUAACUUUUUUCUCUAGGCCUCAGUUAUUAACUUAGAAAUAUAGAAAGGGGAAUGGACAGAGGGUGUUGUUUAAAUGACCUCUUAUAGCACUCUUACAAUUUAUAUGGAGUCUUCCUAUGAAUUGUAUUAUUUAAUGUUCUAUUCUAUAAAGAUCACUGCUAAGUAUAAACUUUCUAUAUUCUCUCUUAGAAGGUCAAUGUCAACAAAUGAAUUUAGCUUAAGUAUGACCUAUAUGUGAGGGAGUAUAUUAAUAUUCUAACACUAUCUUUUGAGAAUAUUAAGUGAAAAUAUGGAAUUUAGAUACUGGGACACAGAUACAUUAUUGGUGGAACUGUGAGUGGAUCCAACCAUUCUGGAGAGCAAUUUGAACUCUGUUAAAAAACUUAUCAAACUGUGCAUAUCCUUUGAUCCAGCAGUGUUUCUGUGAGAUUAUAUUUUAAAGAGACCUUAAAAGAUGGAAAGGGACCCAUAUGUGUAAAAAUGUUUGUGGCAGCCCUUUUUGUAGCGGAUAGAAACUGGAAACUUAGUGGUGUCUCUCAAUUGGAGAAUGGCUGGAUAAGUUUUGGUGUAUGAAUGCUAUGGAAUACUAUUGUUCUGAAAGAAAUGACCAAAAGGAUGAUUUCAGAGAGGCCUGGAGAGAUUUACAGGAACUGAUGCAAAGUGAAAUGUGCAGAACCGGAUCAUUAUACAUGGCAACAACAAGAUUAUAUGAUGAUCAAUUCUGAUGAACAUGGGUCUCUUCAACAUUGAGAUGAUUCAAAUCAGUUCCACUUGUACAGUGAUAAAGAGAGCCAUCUGCAUUCUAAGAGAGAACCAUGGUAACAGAGGGUGGAACAUAACAUAGCAUUCUCACUCUCUCUGUUGUUAUUUGCUUGCAUUUUUUUCCUCAGUUUUUCUUUUUCUUCCUUCUUGGUCUCAUUUUUCUUGUGCAACCAGAUAACUGUAUAAAUAUGCAUACACAUAUGGGAUCUAGCAUUUAUUUCAACAUAUUUAACAUGUAUUGGACUACCAGCCAGAUAAGGAAGGGAGUAGGGGAAAGAAAGGGAAAAUUUGCAACAAAAAGUUAUGAAAGGAUCAAUGUUGGAAAAAUUACCCAUGCAUAUACUCUGUAAAUAAAAAACUUUAAUUUAAAAAAAAAAGGAAGGAAGGAAGAUUGGGAGAAAAAUUUGUAAUACAGAUUGAGAAGGUGAAUGAUGAAAGCAAUCUGUGCAUGUUUUUGGAAAAAUAGAAUAACAUCAUAAAACAUUAACAUUCAAAAAUUAAAUUUUUUUGGACAAGGGUCUUAUCUUAGAUCUUUCCAUGUACCUUGAGCAUAAUCCGAGAAUAACAAAUGUGUAUUUAAAGUGUGAAUCACUAUUGUGUUAUGAGUUCAGGUAUACUUAGUACUCCUAAAUAUUUCUUUUAUUGAAUAAUGUGUAAAAUAACAUCUUUAGAGAUUCUCUCAUCUAUGGUAACAGAUGAUAAUUUUAAAGUAAGUUUUUCUCAUUUCAAAUUUUGGUUUGAACUUUUGGUCUAUUCAUUCCCAGUGCAAUAUAUAUUAAACUGAGAAUUACAC
ensembl:lncRNA